rnacentral:lncRNA from 1 species
UUCUGCAUAUGCAGUAAAAAAAAGGAAGGAAAACCACUCCGAUCCACUAAACACACUUAAAGAAUAACUUUGGCUCAGAUACCAUCCAAAACCAAGAAUGUUACAUCAGUGACAGAGGGAUGGGAUGGAAAGAUAGCAGCAAUUGGAAACACUUUUCAUCUCUACCUUCUCUGAGGAAGGUGUCAGGUGUUGCCAUCUUGCAGAACCAGGAAGCUAUAAAAAAGUUGGGUAACAAAUCAAGCAUAUCAUCAUGUGUUAAGGAAGUACAAGUAGCAAGGGAAUGUAUUUGAUAUUGAUUUAGUGAGGGGACAGGUUGGGCUGCUACACCCCUUUAGAGUCUCUGUCUAUAAAUUCUGGUUCCUGCUUUUACCAGGAGCUCCAAGAUGGCUACUACCAUGAUCUUGUCUUGGAUGGUAAUGAUGGGUCUUCAUAUGCAGCUGGAUGCAGCAUCAAUACGUCCAACAACAGAUACAACUGUUCCAACAACAGUCCAGCCCAUUGGAAAGCUGGAGCUGAGUCUGACCGACGGGCCCGACCGCUGUGCAGGCAAUGUGGAAAUCGACUAUUUUGGAAUGAGCGCAAAAGUGUGUGGCUUCCAGUGGGACAUGAACGAUGCUCAGGUUGUGUGCAGGCAGCUUGGCUGCGGCUCACCUGUCAGCGUGAUGGAGUAUUUCUCCUCGAGCGAUUCAUAUCCAUGGUACCAGAGGACCGCGGUGGCUUGUGACGGCUCUGAAACCUCUUUGCUGUUUUGCCCUUCUGACUACGUGUCCUCCGAAUGCCAACACGGGACUGCUUCUGUCAUCUGCUCAGAUUCGGGAUUCCGAGUGCAAAAUGGUAAGCAGAGAUUUCUCUUUGUAUCCAUGUUAUUGGGGGGGUGCUCUGUGUCCAUCAAAGCAAAAGACUCAGGUGUGGGCUGCAGUUAA